AUCGCUUCUCGGCCUUUUGGCUAAAAUCAUGGGAAGAAUCUGUUCUUUUCAGCU
rnacentral:snRNA from 1 species